AUUGAACGCUGGCGGCAGGCCUAACACAUGCAAGUCGAGCGAGCGGAAGACGGGUGAGUAAUGUAUGGGGACUGCCCGAUAGAGGGGGAUAACUACUGGAAACGGUGGCUAAUACCGAAUACUAUAGGAUAACCCAUAUGGGAUUAGCUAGUAGGUGGGGUAAAGGCUCACCUAGGCGACGAUCUCUAGCUGGUCUGAGAGGAUGUUCAGCGACACUGGGACUGGGACACGGCCCAGACUUCUACGGAGGCAGCAGUGGGGGAUUUUGCACAAUGGGCGCAAGCCUAAUGCAGCCAUGCCGCUUGUAUGAAGAAGGCCUUAGGGUCGUAAGGUACUUUCGGUAGCUAAGCGUUAACUACAGAAGAAGCACCGGCUAACUCCGUGCCAGCAGCCGCGGUAAUUC
rnacentral:rRNA from 1 species